UACGAAGGGACCUAGCGUAGUUCGGAAUUACUGGGCUUAAAGAGCUCGUAGGUGGUUAGAAAAGUUGAUGGUGAAAGCCCAAGGCUUAACCUUGGAACUGCCAUCAAAACUUUUUAACUAGAGUAUGAUAGAGGAAAGUGGAAUUUCUAGUGUAGAGGUGAAAUUCGUAGAUAUUAGAAAGAACACCAAUUGCGAAGGCAACUUUCUGGAUCAUUACUGACACUGAGGAGCGAAAGCAUGGGUAGCGAAGAGG
rnacentral:rRNA from 1 species